rnacentral:rRNA from 1 species
UGGCGGCGCGUCUUAAACAUGCAAGUCGAACGGUAGUCCUUGAGCUUGCUUAGGGAUGAGAGUGGCGAACGGGUGAGUAACACGUGGAUAAUCUGCCGUCCGGGUUGGGGAUAGCUGUCCGAAAGGAUAGCUAAUACCGAAUGAGAUGGCGGUUACAUAAGUAGCAGCCAUUAAAGGUGGGGACCGCAAGGCCUACUGCCUGGAGAUGAGUCCGCGGCUGAUUAGCUAGUUGGUGGGGUAACGGCCUACCAAGGCGACGAUCAGUAGCCGGCCUGAGAGGGUGAACGGCCACAUUGGGACUGAGAUACGGCCCAGACUCCUACGGGAGGCAGCAGUUAAGAAUCUUGCACAAUGGGCGCAAGCCUGAUGCAGCGACGCCGCGUGAAUGAUGAAGGCCUUCGGGUUGUAAAGUUCAGUAAGCAGGGAAGAAUAAGCAAGGGGUAAUAUUUCUUGUGAUGACGGUACCUGCCUAAAGCCCCGGCUAACUACGUG